UAUUAUAUGCUAAGCAUGACAUGCAUUUGCAUAUGCAUUUUUGCAAAUAAAAGUACUCAUGAUUUAAAUUGGUUUUCAUUAUAAUUCCAAUUAUUAAAGAAAGUCGAGUAAGAAUAUUGUUGGUGUUCUUAACUCAAGAGAAAUGUUUUCAAUUAUUUAUUCAUUAAAUCUUGAAAACCCGGCUAAGUGAAUCAUAGAGUAUUAAGCACUACACCAUGACUUAAGAUUAGAUUCAAGGAGACCUAUUAAGAAUAGAAUUUCUUGUAGGCUUUGUGGACCAAGGGGAUUAGCACUGCUUUCCCAAGACAGGUUAUGUGAUUAUGAUCUUCAGGCUUUGCCUAUCCAGGUUGAGCAGCUGAUGGAAUGGAAUGAUGUUGAGCGGGUGUUCCUUUAACAUUUCAAGAAAUGUAACCUUGAGUAUACAUCUUCAUAUGUAUAUCUCACGCGUUUUCCGCUGCAAAACACUUUGAUUAGGAUAACUUUAUGUUAUGAAAUUGUGACACGUGUUAUUGAGUAACCCACCUUAAUCAGUUCUCAUUUAUGUGUAUGUUUUAUAAGUAUCCAAAUAAUCAUAUAUGAUCCCAGCAUUUUAUCUAUGAGUGACAUUUCCAUAUACUUUAAUGUUAAGUAAUUGUCCAUUUCCAUUUCUUAUUGUUCACCCCAAGUCAUAACCCCUGUUAACCCGUCAUUGGGAUAGUGGGUUGUGACAGAGUGGUAUC